rnacentral:rRNA from 1 species
CACUUUUCACUCAAGUUAACUUUAACGAAGGCAUAAAGAGGUAAAGGGGGUAACGCAAGGAGGCGGCAUAAGGACUUACUCGUGUAAGAGGCACUUAAACAGUCUACGUCCGGUCUAGUCCUUCUACAAUCCUGGAACCAGAAAUUUAGGGCAUGGACAGGGAUUUGGUACCCCAUUACUCCUAAACGUAAAUUGGUGCCUGGGAACUACGAACCGCUGUUUAAAACCCAAAGAACUUGGCGGUGAUACAGAUCAGUCUAGGGGAGCAUGACUGUUAAUUCGAUAUUCCACGAAAAUCUUACCUUUCCUUGUAGUCAGCUUGUAUACCGUCGUUGUCAGUCUUUCUUGUGAAGGGGGAAAAGGAGACUCAAUCUACAGAUGCCCAAUUAAGAAGUAGGACAAAUUAGGGUGCUGCUAGGUGACUUCAGAUAAACGUGCAGCCUAUGGAAAGGGCUUGGUUUUGCUACAAUUCUUUUGGAAGUACGGAGCUCAAAACACAACUCUUGAAACUGAGGAGCGAAGGUGGACUUAGCAGUAAACAGAGCUAUCUUGAACAUCGGUGGUUGUAUCGCGU